GACGAACGCUGGCGGUGUGCUUAACACAUGCAAGUCGAACGGUAAGGCCCUUUCGGGGGUACACGAGUGGCGAACGGGUGAGUAACACGUGAGUAACCUGCCCUCAUCUCUGGGAUAACAGUCGGAAACGGUUGCUAAUACUGGAAAUGAGCUUGCAAGGCAUCUUGUGGGUUGGAAAGAUUUUUUUGGUUGGGGAUGGACUCGCGGCCUAUCAGCUUGUUGGUGAGGUAGUGGCUAACCAAGGCUUCGACGGGUAGCCGGCCUGAGAGGGCGACCGGCCACCUUGGGACUGAGAUAAGGCCCAAGCUCCUACGGGAGGCAGCCGUGGGGAAUAUUGCACAAUGGACGGAGGUCUGAUGCAGCAACGCCGCGUGCGGGAUGACGGCCUUCGGGUUGUAAACCGCUUUCAAUUGUGACGAAGCUUUUUGUGACGGUAGCAGUAGAAGAAGCACCGGCUAACUACGUG
rnacentral:rRNA from 1 species